rnacentral:rRNA from 1 species
UACGGAGGGGGCUGGCGUUAUUCGGAAUUACUGGGCGUAAAGCGCACGUAGGCGGACUGGAAAGUCAGAGGUGAAAGCCCGGGGCUCAACCCCGGAACUGCCUUUGAAACUCCCAGUCUUGAGGUCGAGAGAGGUGAGUGGAAUUCCGAGUGUAGAGGUGAAAUUCGUAGAUAUUCGGAGGAACACCAGUGGCGAAGGCGGCUCACUGGCUCGAUACUGACGCUGAGGUGCGAAAGCGUGGGGAGCAAACAGG